AGGUGUGGGUAUCUCUUAUGAAGGGGACUGAAGUAGGACCAGCUGAUAUCCAAGAAUUCUUUCUUUGUCACCAAUAAUCCAUUCAUCUGACUUAGAAACAUGAAGACAUUAAAAAGUUAGAAUGUUGUUCCUUUUGUCUUACCUGUGUUUUACCUGUUCAGGUAUGUUUCACCUUAUAAAGAUUAGCAUGUAUAGAUAGCCCUGUUGAUUGCUAUUUGAGUCUUGGACGCUUUCUUACUAAACACCUCUGUAAGAAUACUUUACAAAUUAAAUAUCAGAGUGGUAAAGACAACUCGUUGCCUUCUCCUGCAUAGUCCAUACUGUGUGACAAAGUGCCUCACAGUUUUAGAUUGACCUUCUUUUGACUUUCAUACAGAUAUAAUCUGUUUGUGUUUUUAAAAUGGAAAGGUAGCCAUAUAUGUAGUGGAAUUGCAUAUAGUUGCUGAUAUAAUGUCCUUCAUCUAAUUUAUUCCAUUUUAUAGCCUUCCUACAUUUUCCCCCUUUAAGGUGUAGAUAUUAGGACAGUAUAUUUACAAAUGAAAUUAUAUUUUUAAUGUCAUGAGUAGGUGUAAUUAGGUUGAAAUACUUCAAUUUUGCAGUCAGUGUUUUGCAUUUGAGGGUUUUUUGGUGGGGUUUUGUUUGUUUUGUUUUUUGUAACUAUCUAUGCACAUUGUUUUACAAGGUGAUUUAAGUGUAUUUCUUAGCGGGCUUGUGAUAAAUAAGAUGGAACUUGCCAAGAGAGGAACUCUUUUCCUUUUUUUCCCAAAGUAUUGUUAUAGUAAAUAUAUUUUCUUACUGUCCUGCUCUUCAGUAGACCUCACACAGGAAACGCCAUUACCUCCUCAUUUUGCCAACUUUGUGAUAAGUUGGGGACUUUACUGGCAGUUUCAUAACUUGUCAUGAUAGCUCUCCUAAGAAGAGGGUGAGUGGAUCCUGUGGCUCUGGUGUGGUAUAUAGAUGCCAAGUGCUAGGAAUUCCUGGAAUGUAGAGUUGUGCAGCACUGAUAAAGUUUGCUUUGUUUCCUUAGUGACUUGGCCCAUUGAGAAAAUGUGAUUCCCUAGGAAGGUUUAGUAGCUCAAAGUUUAUAUUGAAUAAAGAGAAAGGCCCUUGCAUAAUUCUGCUUGUUUUCACCUGCUGCCUGAAAGAUUAAUUUUCUUAACCUUCAUAUAGAAAAUAUAACCCUGAGUUUUGAAAGUGAUUUAUAGAGAUCCUUCACACUUAUCAGUUUGAGUAAAUAUGCCACAGGCUUUUGCGUUCCAGCUACGGUCUUUUCAUAACCUUCUCAGUUUACAGUGUGGUAAUUUCAUUUGGGGGUAAGAAAGUUUCAAGGAAAAACACCUUCUAAUUAGAGUGAUAUAAUCACUCUGCUUGCCUGCUGUGGUUUCAUAUGACUUCAGAAAAAUAGUUGAAUGAUUAAUCUUUAAUUUUCCCCAUCAUUAACUUAAUAAGGAAAUGGGAGAUUGAAGAAAAAACAAACAGCAGAACUGUACAACUGAGACGUUGUUAUGCCAAAUCUUUUUGGCUUUUUUGUUUGGUGAGAGAUGCCAUUCUGUGAACUCUAUGUGAAGUGUAGCAGCAACUGGUUAGCUCAGAUAAUUCAUAGAAACUUGGAACUUUAUUGAAGUCUUUGCAGAGCUUGCUGUACAACUUCUUCCCUCUUCCCCACAGUCCCCUCUGGGCUGGGUGGUGUUUUUUUCUAUGGUUUAUUUAGAAGCAAAUAUUGCAUAAGCUAAACUUCUAAUAUCAUAAAAUUUCCUUGCACCCAUUUUUCUGAGGGAAAGGAAGCCAUCCCAGACAGUAGCAAAAUACCCUUAGGAAGGAUUGGUUCUAUUUUUGUGCUGGUUACUAUCUUUAGUUGCUGUGCUGAUAAGUGAACUUUGUUGUAGAGUAAUGCAGUUUUUGUAUGAAUGUGACAGGAUUGGUCGAGUCUCUUGGAGAACAAAAACAAAUAAAAAAGUGGAAGCAAGUUUCUCUUUGUACGUCUUUAUUUAAUUCUUAGUGAGUGUAGAACAGGUAACAUAAUACUAGAAGUUUAAUGCUUGCAUAGAAAAUAUGCCUGGUGCUUGCAAAUGUUCAUCUAGAAGUUGUAAUUCUUUUCAUUAGUAAAUACUAUAAAACCAGUCAAAUGUACAUCUGCAGGCAGCAACACAGCAACA